GUGAAUAGAAAGUCUUAAGUAGUGAGUGUAUAUAGUGAAUAGAAAGUCUUAAGUAGUGAGUGUAUAUAGUGAAUAGAAAGCCUUAAGUAGUGAGUGUAUAUAGUGAAUAGAAAGUCUUAAGUAGUGAGUGUAUAUAGUGAAUAGAAAGUCUUAAGUAGUGAGUGUAUAUAGUGAAUAGAAAGUCUUAAGUAGUGAGUGUAUAUAGUGAAUAGAAAGUCUUAAGUAGUGAGUGUAUAUAGUGAAUAGAAAGUCUUAUGUAGUGAGUGUAUAUAGUGAAUAGAAAGUCUUAAGUAGUGAGUGUAUAUAGUCAAAGGGAAGCCUUAAGUAGUGAGUGUAUAUAGUGAAUAGAAAGUCUUAAGUAGUGAGUGUAUAUAGUGAAUAGAAAGUCUUAAGUAGUGAGUGUAUAUAGUCAAAAGGAAGCCUUAAGUAGUGAGUGUAUAUCGUCAAUAGAAAGUCUUAAUGAGUGUAUUUAUAUAUCGAAUAGAAAGUCUUAAGUAGUGAGUGUAUAUAGUGAAUAGAAAGUCUUAAGUAGUGAGUGUAUAUAGUCAAUAGAAAACCUUAAGUAGUGAGUGUAUAUAGUCAAUAGAAAGUCUUAAGUAGUGAGUGUAUAUAGUCAAUAAAAAGUCUUAAGUAGUGAGUGUAUAUAGUGAAUAGAAAG
ensembl:lncRNA